rnacentral:rRNA from 1 species
AACGCGAAGAACCUUACCUGGGCUCGAACGGCUGGUCAACGAUCGUGGAAACACGGUUACUCCGCAAGGGGGUCCAGUCGAGGUGCUGCAUGGCUGUCGUCAGCUCGUGUCGUGAGAUGUUGGGUUAAGUCCCGCAACGAGCGCAACCCUUGUCCUGUGUUGCCAUCAUUCAGUUGGGAACUCGCAGGAGACCGCCAGCGAUAAGCUGGAGGAAGGUGGGGAUGACGUCAAGCCCUCAUGGCCUUUAUGUCCAGGGCUACACACGUGCUACAAUGGCCGGUACAAUGCGCUGCUAAGUCGCAAGACGGAGCCAAUCGCAAAAAACCGGUCUCAGUUCGGAUUGCAGGCUGCAACUCGCCUGCAUGAAGCUGCAAUCGCUCCUAAUGGCCUCUCAGCAAUGACCCCCCGAACACGCUCCACGGGUAUGUCCACAC